GAAUGAACGGUGGCAAAGGGAAACCAGAGCCAUGUCUUUAAUGAUGCAUGAGGAGUCUUGAAGCAGGCCAGAGCAGAGACAAUGCCUGGCUGGCAGCGAAAGGAGUCCUGUGACAGUGAGAGUGAGAGUGGCGGUGGAUACUUGCAACUAGAGUUGGUGCUGACACAGGUGCUACAGUUGGGUCUGACUCUGAAGGCCCAAGUUAGAUCCCGUCUGUGCCAGUCCUAGUCCCUCUGCGUGUCUAGGGCCUUAAGCGGGCAGCGGCUGGUGACCAGGUGGGGGGUCUCCUCUCCACCUGCCGAAUGAGCGCUGUCAGCAUUGGGGGGUACCACGGUCUGCGGGUGGGCUCGGCCCUGCUCAGCAUCGUGGCGGGGUGCAUCAUUAUCGGGGUGUCGAGGGAGUGUGAUGCGGAUGCCGUAGGGGGAAUCUUCCUCGGUGCGGGGGGGCUGGGCCUCCUCAUCGCUGUCUUCCCCUUCAUAAGAGCCUGGCUCAACAUUAACAACAUUCUCCCCACCUUGGGAAACUUCAGAGUGCACCCUACGCCUGCUAACCUUCCUGGCCCUGAGCAACCAGAGACACUGAAACGAGAAGCGACUCAGAGCCAGCUGAAUCUGGAGCGCUCUAAGAGCCGGAUGGGGACAUUUGUUGAUGCCGGACCGAUGGCUGAGGCCUCUGCAGAUGAGGGGACAUCCUCAGACAUGCCAGACAUCUUGUCCAGACGAAAGUUCAAGCAGACCCUCCCUGAUCCAGACCUCCCGUAAAUUGGUUAUAUAGCAGCCAGACAGCACACAUCUCUCAUGCACGCCUGCUCAGAUUUGAGUUCACCUACAAAUGGACUUCACACGUUGGUGAAUCAGAUGUUUACUUACUUCAAGAAUACAAUUCAAAAGCUACAUAGUGUGCCUUCUCAUAACUAUCCAGAGUAAUACAUAUUUUCUUCCACAAUGUCUCAUUUUAUUAGCAAUAUUAUUCUUAUCCUAGAGAGAGAGAGAGAGAGAGAGAGAGAGAGAGAAAAAGAAAACGAGAGAGAAAGAGAGAGAGAAAGCGAGAGAGAGGGAGAGAGGGAGAGAGAGGCAUAAGGCAAAGAGGUAUCAACCAAGGAUAAUCAAGUAGUGGAUAAUAACAGCUUAGCUCAUCGCACAAGAUAAUAAAAUAAUCCCAGUACACGGACUGAGAAGGCUGUUUUCUAAUGUUGAAUUGUAACUGACAUAGUGAAAAAUACACACUGAUUUCAUUUUAUAUCCCACCAGGGGCAAGUCUGGUGUUUUUUGAAGGAAGUCAAGCUAUAUUAGAUCAAAUCCAGACAGAAACAAUUAUUUUACCAGGCAACCUAAAUUAUAUAUUAGAUAAGAUUGACAGACGUAGCAAUAAAAAAGGCAAAUUCAAGGAGCCUCCAAAGAGUCUGAACAUUAUCAUCUCUACAAAUAAUUUACAGGACACCUGAAAUAGUGAAAUUGGAUCAUUCUCCGGUAUCAUGGUUAAUUACACCAACAUAAAAUACACUUAGCAACAGUAUAGUGGGGCAAAAAAGUAUUUAGUCAGCCACCAAUUGUGCAAGUUCUCCCACUUAAAAAGAUGAGAG
rnacentral:lncRNA from 1 species